rnacentral:rRNA from 1 species
UACGGGGGGGGCAAGCGUUGUUCGGAAUUACUGGGCGUAAAGGGCUCGUAGGUGGCCAACUAAGUCAGACGUGAAAUCCCUCGGCUUAACCGGGGAACUGCGUCUGAUACUGCUUGGCUUGAGACCGGGAGAGGUGAGUGGAAUUCCCAGUGUGGCGGUGAAAUGCGUAGAUAUUGGGAGGAACACCAGUGGCGAAGGCGGCUCACUGGACCGGUACUGACGCUGAUGCGCGAAAGCGUGGGGAGCAAACGGG